CAGCCGCCGCGGUAAUACGAAGGGGGCUAGCGUUGUUCGGAUUUACCGGGCGUAAAGCGCACGUAGGCGGAUCGAUCAGUCAGGGGUGAAAUCCCAGAGCUCAACUCUGGAACUGCCUUUGAUACUGUCGAUCUGGAGUAUGGAAGAGGUGAGUGGAAUUCUGAGUGUAGAGGUGAAAUUCGUAGAUAUUCGGAGGAACACCAGUGGCGAAGGCGGCUCACUGGUCCAUUACUGACGCUGAGGUGCGAAAGCGUGGGGAGCAAACAGGAUUAGAUACCCCAGUAGUCCCUGUCUCUUAUAA
rnacentral:rRNA from 1 species